rnacentral:rRNA from 1 species
GACGAACGCUGGCGGCGUGCUUAACACAUGCAAGUCGAACGGAAAGGCCCUGCUUUUGUGGGGUGCUCGAGUGGCGAACGGGUGAGUAACACGUGAGUAACCUGCCCUUGACUUUGGGAUAACUUCAGGAAACUGGGGCUAAUACCGGAUAGGAGCUCCUGCUGCAUGGUGGGGGUUGGAAAGUUUCGGCGGUUGGGGAUGGACUCGCGGCUUAUCAGCUUGUUGGUGGGGUAGUGGCUUACCAAGGCUUUGACGGGUAGCCGGCCUGAGAGGGUGACCGGCCCAAUGGGGACUGGGAUACGGCCCAGACUCCUACGGGGGGGAGCGGUGGGGAAUAUUGCACAAGGGGGGGAAGCCUGAUGCAGCAACGCCGGGUGGGGGAUGACGGCCUUCGGGUUGAAAACCGCUUUCGCCUGGGACGAAGGGGGGGUGAGGGUAAUGGGUAAAGAACCACCGGCUAACUACGU